CAGUCUGUGGUUUGACACAAAUUCAUCUUCCAUUUCUGAACACGUCUCCUUUUUUAGAGCCUGUGAGAUGAACUUGCAGGGCAGUUUGUCUUGCUAAACACAUGAACCCACAUUUUCUAAACGAGUCCACUAAAGGAUCAAGAAACUAGAGGAACGGCCCUCUCAGCUUUGGAUGUAUCCCCAGAUAAAACCUUCUGCUGCUUCUUCACAAGCCAUGUUGUCUACUUCUUGCUCAGGACUUGUAAUCCUGCUGAUACUGAGAGGGACCAGUGGAGACACAGUGACCCAGACAGAAGGUUCUGUUACCCUCCCUGAGGGGACACCGUUGACCUUGAACUGCACCUACCAGAGCAGCUACUCGGUUGUUGCUUUCUGGUAUGUCCAGUACCAAAACAAAGAGCCCAAGCUCCUCCUGAAGAGCUCAUCAGAAAACCGGAGGGUAGAGAAUCACGGUUUUCAGGCCAGUCUUAAGAGUGACAAGUCCUUCCACCUGGAGAAACGCUCCGUGCAAAUGUCAGACUCGGCUGUGUACUACUGCGCCGUGGAAAGCACAGUGAGAGCAGCAGCAGGGGGAGCUGAGCGCAAACCCAGAGGGGCACAGGAGGGGCCUGGAUGUGGGCAGGCUGGAGGGCAGAAAGAUGAUUUCUCUGGAGUCAGUGUGCUGGGCUGGACACGGCUAGAGGGGAAGGAAUGAAUUCCAGCUCAGAUGCUCCGCGCUCAGGAAUCCUGGCGUUACUCUGGGCUAGGAAUGGAAAGAGCUGAUCUAGGUGAAAACGUAGGUUAUAGAUAUGCUUGUAAAUAGAAUCCUAUAGCACAUGGCCUUUUGUGUCCAGCUUCUUCACAUAGCAUCAUCUUCUCAAGGUGUAUCUAUGGGUCAGUACUUUAUUACUUUUAUGGCUGCACAGUAAUCCAUUGUAUGGACACCUCAUAUUUUCUUUUUCCAUUCAUCCUUUGAUGGGCAUUUUGGUUGUUUUCACUUUUUGGCUAUUGUGAAUAAUGCUGCUAUGAACAUUCAUGUAUGGAGUUCUGCUCUUUUAAACUCUAAUAUAUUGGUUAGAGGUUUCUGAAUAUUUUUGGUUUUUUGAUUUUGCUUUUUUUGGUACUAACAUUUCUUUGUGGAUAUAAAAUGAACAAAUAUAUGAGAAAGUGCUCCUUACAAAUAACGAUUUAUACCAAAGUAAGAUAUUAUUAUUCUAAGGUAUAGCUACAGUCAUUCAAGAAAAUUUCUAAACAUCUACUCAUAUGUGCCAGUUAUUUUAAUAAGUAUUGGGAAUACAGUUUAGGUAACAGAAUUUCCUGUCUUAGAAUUUUAUAACACAGUGCAUUAAAAUAUUGCAUAAGUCUUAAAAUAAUGGCUUUUUUUCACAAAUCAUUUUAUUCAUGCACUGACUUCUAUUUGUUCCCAAAUAUUUAUGGUGCUUACAGUUUUAUGGACAUUGGGCCAGGCACUUUAAAUUCCUCUCCACCUCUCUCUAGAUACUACCAAAUUCUCAUUUUACAGAUGACAAAAUUGACGUUUAGAAAUGUUAAGUGACUUAAGGUUACAAAACCAGCUGGGAGCAGUAGUUGGUCUAGGCCCAAAUCUGAUACGUGACCAAUAUUCUUAAUAGCUAAUUGAUUGAGCCUUCUAGAAAUCUGUCCUUUUUUUUUUCUCCCAGAAUACUAUUAUAAUCUUAGAUUUCAUAAUUGUCCAUGUUUUCCUUUGGUGGAGAAGAACCCAAUGCAAUAGUAAAAGCUGUAGUUUACUCAACUGGCAAUCACAGGAGUCUAUAUUCAUGCUUACUGAAGACAACACAGUCACCAUCUUUUACGUUCUUGAACCACAAGGCUGCUCAUACACUGUCUGACUGAAUAGCCUGGCUAUUUGAGGAGUCACUGUUGAGCCCCAGGGGUUGUUAUCAGGAGACAUACAGGUAUUUAGCAUGGAAAUGGGGGCUAUAUUUUCCAAAUACAAACAAAAAUACUGGAUGUGGCAAAUACAUCUAGUCAUUGACUGCAGGAUACAAUAUUUUUGCUUUUGCUACAGUGUAAUAUCUCAUUUAAAAAUUCUUUUUCAAAUAAUUAGUAAAUGCAGGUAUAAUGUCAA